rnacentral:rRNA from 1 species
UGAUGAACGCUGGCGGCGUGCUUAACACAUGCAAGUCGAACGGAGUAUAUACGCUGACGAGUAGAGUAGCUUGCUACGAAGCAAAUCUUGUUGAUACUUAGUGGCGGACGGGUGAGUAACGCGUGGGUAACCUGCCAUGUACAGGGGGAUUAACACUUAUAAAUAGGUGCUAAUACCGCAUAAGCCUACAGGAUCGCAUGAUCCAGUAAGAAAAACUCCGGUGGUACAUGAUGGACCCGCGUCUGAUUAGCUAGUUGGUGAGGCAGUGGCUCACAANGCGACGAUCAGUAGCCGGCCUGAGAGGGUGAACGGCCACAUUGGGACUGAGACACGGCCCANACUCCUACGGGAGGCAGCAGUGGGGAAUAUUGCACAAUGGGGGAAACCCUGAUGCAGCGACGCCGCGUGAGUGAUGAAGUAUUUCGGUAUGUAAAGCUCUAUCAGCANGGAAGAAAAUGACGGUACCUGACUAAGAAGCCCCGGCUAACUACGUGCCAGCAGCCGGCGUUAUACGUAGGGGGGCAAGCGUUAUUGGAUUUACUGGGUGUAAAGGGAACGCAAACGGACUGCAAAUUUUGAUGUAA